GACGAACGCUGGCGGCGUGCCUAAUACAUGCAAGUUGAGCGAUGAAGCUUGGUGCUUGCACCAAUUUGAAGAGCAGCGAACGGGUGAGUAACGCGUGGGGAAUCUGCCUUUGAGCGGGGGACAACAUUUGGAAACGAAUGCUAAUACCGCAUAACAACUUUAAACAUAAGUUUUAAGUUUGAAAGAUGCAAUUGCAUCACUCAAAGAUGAUCCCGCGUUGUAUUAGCUAGUUGGUGAGGUAAAGGCUCACCAAGGCGAUGAUACAUAGCCGACCUGAGAGGGUGAUCGGCCACAUUGGGACUGAGACACGGCCCAAACCCCUACGGGAGGCAGCAGUAGGGAAUCUUCGGCAAUGGACGAAAGUCUGACCGAGCAACGCCGCGUGAGUGAAGAAGGUUUUCGGAUCGUAAAACUCUGUUGGUAGAGAAGAACGUUGGUGAGAGUGGAAAGCUCAUCAAGUGACGGUAACUACCCAGAAAGGGACGGCUAACUACGUG
rnacentral:rRNA from 1 species